rnacentral:tRNA from 1 species
GGAGAGGUGUCAGAGUGGUUUAAUGAGCACGCUUGGAAAGCGUGUGUACCCAAAAGGUACCGGGGGUUCGAAUCCCCCCCUCUCCGCCA